rnacentral:rRNA from 1 species
AUUGAACGCUGGCGGCAUGCUUUACACAUGCAAGUCGAACGGUAACAGGCCGCAAGGUGCUGACGAGUGGCGAACGGGUGAGUAAUGCAUCGGAACGUGCCCAGUCGUGGGGGAUAACGCAGCGAAAGCUGUGCUAAUACCGCAUACGAUCUGUGGAUGAAAGCGGGGGACCGAAAGGCCUCGCGCGAUUGGAGCGGCCGAUGUCAGAUUGGGUAGUUGGUGGGGUAAAGGCUCACCAAGCCAACGAGCUGUAGCUGGUCUGAGAGGACGACCAGCCAGACUGGGACUGAGACACGGCCCAGACUCCUACGGGAGGCAGCAGUGGGGAAUUUUGGACAAUGGGCGCAAGCCUGGUCCAGCAAUGCCGCGUGCAGGAAGAAGGCCUUCGGGUUGUAAACUGCUUUUGUACGGAGCGAAAAGGCUCUCUCUAAUACAGGGGGCUCAUGACGGUACCGUAAGAAUAAGCACCGGCUAACUCUGUGCCAGCCGCCGCAGUAAGAC